rnacentral:rRNA from 1 species
GGGGGUUAGCGUUGUUCGGAAUUACUGGGCGUAAAGCGCACGUAGGCGGACUGGAAAGUUGGGGGUGAAAUCCCGGGGCUCAACCUCGGAACUGCCUCCAAAACUAUCAGUCUAGAGUUCGAGAGAGGUGAGUGGAAUUCCAAGUGUAGAGGUGAAAUUCGUAGAUAUUUGGAGGAACACCAGUGGCGAAGGCGGCUCACUGGCUCGAUACUGACGCUGAGGUGCGAAAGUGUGGGGAGCAAACAGGAUUAGAUACCCUGGUAGUCCACACCGUAAACGAUGAAUGCCAGUCGUCGGCAAGUAUACUUGUCGGUGACACACCUAACGGAUUAAGCAUUCCGCCUGGGGAGUACGGUCGCAAGAUUAAAACUCAAAGGAAUUGACGGGGGCCCGCACAGGCGGUGGAGCAUGUGGUUUAAUUCGAAGCAACGCGCAGAACCUUACCAACCCUUGACAUCCUGUGCUAUAUUUAGAGAUAGAUAGUUCCCUUCGGGGACGCAGUGACAGGUGCUGCAUGGCU